GCUCUUGUAGCUCAGUUGGUUAGAGCAACCGUUUAGUAAGCAGGAGAUCUUGCAUUUGACUCUCAACAAGAGCA
rnacentral:tRNA from 1 species